AAUAUUGCGCAAUGGAGGGAACUCUGACGCAGCGACGCCGCGUGAGCGAUGAAGGUCUUCGGAACGUCAAGCUCUGUCUUUGGGGCAGAAGGUCUUCGGACAUGACGGUAGCCAAGGAGGAAGCCCCGGCUAACUACGUGCCAGCAGCAGCGGUAAUACGUAGGGGGCAAGCGUUGUCCGGAAGGACUGGGCGUAAAGGGCGUGUAGGCGGCCGAUUAAGUCUGGAGUGAAAGUCCUGCUUUCAAGGUGGGAAUUGCUUCGGAUACUGGUUGGCUUGAGUGCGGAAGAGGUAAGUGGAAUUCCCAGUGUAGCGGUGAAAUGCGUAGAGAUUGGGAGGAACACCAGUGGCGAAGGCGACUUACUGGGCCGUAACUGACGCUGAGGCGCGAAAGCGUGGGGAGCGAAC
rnacentral:rRNA from 1 species